UUGUCUUUCAGAUGCAACCCUUCAGCAUCUGGGGAUAUCAGCAGAGGGAUCCUUAAGCAAUUAUCUAUACACAAGACCAUCAGUCAGCAGGAGUGAUGGCUGGAGGACUUUCCUGGCACCUGGGCAAUUAACCCAGAAGCCAGAGGACAGAGAAGGCACCAGGCCCAUCACCUCUGGGUGGCACAGACCAGCCUCAGAUGCUGACACCAUGGUAUGCCUUGGGUGCCCUCUGCUGGCACAUCACCACACCUGACUUCAAGACUGGAUUUACUCCAUUGAGUCACCCUGUCUGUCACCUUUUCUCACACAGAGCUCCCUAAGACUUAGGGGCCACAGCUGAUGCUUCCACCAUCUUUAGCCAUCUUGCAACACUCAAAGAUGACAUCAACAGAGGAUGACUUCACAGACUCCAAACAGCUGGGUCUCCUAUGAUCCAAAGGUGGCCUGUAUAUUUUAUAUCCCCUUUCAAGUUUAUGGUUAGAAAAUGCUGGUGCCCAGGCCGCUCCACAAACAGAUUAGAACCCUGUGGGCGAAGCCUCUCCACCACUGUACUGAACAGUCCCCAAGGGAUUCUUAUGUUCAUCCCGAGCUGAGACCCACAGGGAGACAAGUCCAAGUUCUGAUACAGCAGACCUGGAGGGUUCCAAGGAUGAUCCUGAGUCACCAACCCAGAUCCACUACCGGACUAGAACUUGCAAUGAACUUUAGAGAAGGAAACAGAAAGUCCAGCUAGAAGAACCUUGAAGGGCAGAGAAAGGUCUUCCUCCCCAACACUCUCAAAACAUCCUGCCUGGCUGUACUUGCCCUCCUCGUGAUGAUGUGACAUGACACGAUGCCUAUGUGAGGAGAUGAAGUGAGGGGAAUGACACAGGCAUUGGGACACAUCAUCAGGCUUCUACUGCUCUUCUGAGUGUAAGGCAGGAGGGUCACCUGCCUCCCGACUGGGCUGACACUAUGGAAAGUGAAGCUGUGUAGGUAAGAAGGCAGUGGCGUAUCCCCAGAACCAAAUACGAACCAGCCUUUUAGAAAGGGAAUCAGAGAGCUCUCUACAUGUAUUGGCAAGGAAAAACUUGCAAGAUACAGUAAGGAAAAAUAGAUAAAUACAAAAGAGUGUGCUCGCUGUGCUGCUUUUAGUAUAAAGUAAGUUUAUCCAGACACAUACAUGUAUCUGGAAGAAAAGAUAAAAAAGUGUUUAACCACGAGACAUGGGCGGCUGGGGUCAGGGGCGAGAGGGAGAGCCCCUCCUCCCCUGCGCACCCAGCUUGGCACUGUCCGUUCAAACGCCUCUGAGCAGCCUGCACAAGGAAAUGGGGAAAACCCAAGCAAAUGCACAGUGACCUCAUCAAGUGUUCAGAAAUCUAGUUCCCCUGAUUUCCAACUCAACAACUGGACAUUUUCCCAAUCCGUAAGGAUACUUUUUUUUUUUAAGAUUUUUUCUUUAUUUAUCUGACAGAGAUCACAAGUAGGCAGAGAGGCAGGCAGAGAGAGAGGAGGAAGCAGGCUCCCUGCAGCGCAGAGAGCCCGAUGUGGGGCUCGAUCCCAGGACCCUGGGAUCAUGACCUGAGCCGAAGGCAGAGGCUUAACCCACUGAGCCACCCAGGUGCCCCCGUAAGAAUACAUUUUUAAAGCAUUUAUUCUUCAAAUGCGAAAAUGUUAGCUGACACUAAAAUUUAGUAAGGAUGAUACAUGCUCUGGUCUCUGCCUUUGUUCCCUGAAAGUACAUUUGUGAACACAGGGAGAAGCAUAAAAAUAAUACCCCGAUUCUGGACCCUCCCACAAUUAUUUGAUUUUCUAGAAGUACUUGAGACUAUUUGCCUGUCCUACUGCAAUAUUUUCAAAAAUAAUCCAUUCCAGGACAGAAAGGUUUCUAUACGCAUGUAUUGGUAACGGACUACAGGAUGGAUCUGACCCAUGCAAAUCCAACGGUCAAUACUGGUAAAAGCCUGUGCUUGGUAACUGGGUUGCCUGUGCACACAGAAGACCGGGGAGAGAAACCAGGGGCUACGUACGCUGUAACUGAGCGGCUCUCAGCUGCUUCUUC